rnacentral:sRNA from 1 species
GUUGACAAUUAAAUACUAUGCUAUUCAUUUGUAUUAACUAUGAAGGCAGUAUACACUUUCACAUAUUCUGGCCGUGAUAUUGAAUCCUUCCCCUCAUAUUUGACUGUGUAUUUUUAAUAACCCACUCAUAGCUUGUUUAGUAAAGGUAUAACAUGCACAUUGUCAAUAUUUGUAAGGGGCACACCGAAUAUAUUGGUGUCAUAUAUAUAAUAGGAGAUUUUGUUUACAUGUUAACACAUUCCAUUUAUUGAAUUGCAUUCUCAUCCACAAUAUUCAUAAAUAUAUUGUAAUUUUCUAUACAAGUAGUUGAAGAAUUAAGAUAUUUUUUUUCUAAAAAUAUAAGAUACUUGGUAGGUUGUGGUGUCUAUUGUUUCAAUACUGCACCAUGCAUGAACAUUUUUUUUUUUUAUUAGGGGGUCCAAAUGAUUUCUACACAAGUUGAAGCAUCAGUGAAAAUGCUUUAAAAAAUCUAAAACUAAAGUGACAAACAUAGAUACACACAAAAUUUUAAUGAUAAGUUAUAACACUAAGAAUAAUUAAAGUAAAAUAGCGAAUAUUGUGGUGGACAUUAAUUUUAAGGUUUUGAAAUUACAGACAUUUGAAUGUGUACCUUUUUUAAUACAGAAAAGUUUUACAGUACAGAGUUAUUAACAUACAAGAGGGUUUUUGUACAAAAAUAUAUUUACUGUGAUGUUCCACUGUUUUCUAAUGUUACCCCAUCACAACCUAUUGAAUCCACACAGCCCUCUGAUAGACAUUGUUCCUGUGCUGUCUGUGUUUAAAUUGUUUUAAUAAAAAUAUAGAAAAAUG